rnacentral:rRNA from 1 species
UACAGAGGGGGCAAGCGUUGUUCGGAAUUACUGGGCGUAAAGGGCGCGUAGGCGGCCUUCUAAGUCGAACGUGAAAUCCCCGGGCUCAACCCGGGAACUGCGUCCGAUACUGGAAGGCUUGAAUCCGGGAGAGGGAUGCGGAAUUCCAGGUGUAGCGGUGAAAUGCGCAGAUAUCAGGAGGAACACCGGUGGCGAAGGCGGGUCUCUGGGCAAUAACUGACGCUGAGGAGCGAAAGCGUGGGGAGCGAACAGG